rnacentral:rRNA from 1 species
GCUGAAGGUACCGUAAGAAUAAGCCUCGGCUAACUCCGUGCCAGCAGCCGCGGUAAUACGGAGGAUGCAAGCGUUAUCCGGAUUNAUUGGGUUUAAAGGGUGCGCAGGCGGAAUUAUAAGUCAGUGGUGAAAUCCUACAGCUUAACUGUAGAACUGCCAUUGAUACUGUCUUUCUUGAGUAUAGUUGAGGUAGGCGGAAUGUGUCGUGUAGCGGUGAAAUGCUUAGAUAUGACGCAGAACACCGAUCGCGAAGGCAGCUUUCCAGGCNAUUACUGACGCUNGUGCACNAAAGCGUGGGGAUCAAACAGGAUUAGAUACCCUGGUGGUCCCNCCAGUGAACGGUGGGCAANUCANANGAAUNGNCGGNA